CAUAAUAAACCAGAUGGUCAUACCACAGCAAAUGGUGGUACUGAAAGAGAAGAGAAGGAAAACAGAAGUUUUUUACCCCCGCUUUUUCAAGGACGAUCGGCAACUUUGAUUUGAGAAGACAGAACUCCUGUUCCUAUGGGACCACCACGAGAACCUGGUCUUGCUGUUCCAGGUGGCAUCUAAAUGACAAACAAAAUUACAGUUUUAUUAAACUAGAAAAACAGUGCCUCUAAAAUUGUCAAAACUGCAAAGAGGAUAUUUUUAAAGAUAAAGAUUCUAUAUAAUUUGUAAAAUUUUCCUUACACUUUUGAAUGUCUGAAAUUUUAUUUAACAAAAUUAACAUUUAAAAUUAUGUGAAUAUUGGGUAAUACACUUCUUUAAAAUUUUAAA